rnacentral:lncRNA from 1 species
UGACUGCUAAAAUUGAUUUGUAUAUUUACAAAUUGAGUUGGCUUCUCAUAAACAAAAUAUUUGCUCUCUUUCAUCCUCUGACAUCAUAAAUAGUAGUCAAACUAAACUUUUGGUUUCUUUCUUAAGCCUCCUAACCCAACUCAUAUACAACAAAUACACAAAUGACCAAUGAUUAACUCAAACAAGACAUGAAGCAAAUAUUAAACACCAGCUUUGUGGUGCCAGGACACAACUAGUGACUGGGUUAUCUGUAUCUUAUUAGCUUUCACAAGGAUGAGAAACUCCCAAAAGCAUGAAGCAAUGAUGGAGGGAAGAAGAACCUUCCAUUCAGAGAACUUUAACUGCAUUUAGCCAAUUAUAAAGAAAGAGGUUGGUAUAGCCCAUUUCCCUUGUCCUCAAUGAGAAUGCGACCUUCUUAGUGUUGGGUAGGGUCCUAAUAUCAGCAUUUCCUUUUAUCUCCAUAUGAGCUUGUGGUCCUGUUGAACCAUCAGACGCCCAUGUGUAUCUGUGCAAAAGAACAAGACACCCAUGCACACCACCACUAAAUAUAACUUUUAUCAUAUAACAACAAAUAAUACUCAGAUGAGACAAAAUAGCUAUUAGAAUAUUUUC